rnacentral:lncRNA from 1 species
AUGUUUUCUCAAUUUUUUUCUCCCCCUUUUUUUCCAGCAUCAACUUGAGAGGGGAGGAGAGCCUCUCCUCUCAUGGUUUUCUUCUUCCUUUCUCUUCCAAGCAACACCCCCCAAAAAAACCUAAGUUUUGUUCCAUUAAGUCUUACCAGAAAACAACUUUUUAAUUAAUUUCCACCAUCUUCUUCCUCAUUUAAGGCUAGAGUUUCAAGUGGGUUAGUGAGAGAAAGUUAUGAAUAGAGACAGAAAGCUCCAACCAUGGUAAGAAAAUGAGUUUCUACUAUCUCCAUAUUUGAUAUUAGAGAUUUUUUAUUAAGAACAAUUAUUGGAGCUCAUAGUAAUGACUUUUAUAUGUAUGUUUUUGUGUUGAGAAAAGGAGAUCAAUGGAAGAAAAGGUUUCAAGCUAUUUUUGGUAUGGAUUCAAGUGUUGAGAAUGUGAGAAGAAGUUCUAUUUGGAAUUUUUGUUGUUAAAGAGAUAAGUACCAUGGAUUCUCCUAACUUCAUCUUAAUAAAAUGGUUGUGAAAAAUGCUAAAAUGAUUAAACAAAAAAUAUAAAUUGACUACAUUUAUUUCAAAUAGGAUUAAGAGUAUGUAUAUAAGAAAAUAAUAGAUUAAUGAGUUGUGAUAAUUGGAAGAAACAUAAUGGAAUUUAUGAACUUGACUUAAUGUAUAAUGGAUUAGAGAAAUGUCAAGCAAAUUAUAGUUAUGACAUAAUGUGAUUUAUUGAUACAAUGAGCUAAGAGUGGAUUUUCAUAUAAUGAAAUAUAUUAAAAAGUGGGAAUAAGGAAAACCAUGAAAAAUGCAAUGUGCUUAUAUGUGCAGACAAAAAUGAUAUACGAUGUAUAAUAUGGUAUACUUGUUUUUAUGUGAAUGUGAG